rnacentral:lncRNA from 1 species
UUGACAUCGAUUAAUGUCUGAUGCCAAGCGAACGAUCUUGAUUAUCUCGUUCGCGUCCUCGUAGCCCCAACUACUCUCCUUCCCUUGCCUGAGACCCGCACCCAACCAUCUCCCCAACCCUGAUCCCUCCUACCUUGGCUAGGACAAACCAUGCGCCGCCGCUCACAAUCACCACAGGAGAAAGCCCACCGAAUCGCCACCCCACCGGAAAAGCUAGAUCGACCGGUCGUUGCCGCAUCGAGGAAUCUGUGAUGUCGUUGCGCAGGUCAUUUAUGUCCCGGUUCCGGUCAUUGCCACAUCGAGGACUCCGCACCGCCAAUGUGGAGCUCGCUUCUGUCUUGAUUCCGAUCGUUGCCGCAUCGAGGACUCCACGCUGCCGUUGCGGAGGUUGCUUUUGUCCCGGUUCUGGUCAUUGUCGCAUCCAGGACUCCGCGUCGCCGCUGCGGAGGUAGCUGUUGUCCCACUUCCAGUCCUUUCCGCAUCAGGGACUCCGCACAUAUGUUUCUGAGGUCGUUGCAAUCUCGAUUCUAGGAGUGUCGCAUCGAGGACUCCACGCCAUUUCUGUGUAUGUCGUUGUUGUCCUAAUUCCGGGAGCGAUGUGCCCUUGUUUUCAGCGAAGUAACCGCAACAGUGAGCCUCCCAGCACCCGUGCCUCUUUCGACUCGUCGACUCCUCGGCAACAAAUAUGCCUUGUACGUGUCUCAUGUGUACCCAUUAACUAAUUCCCCUCCCCUCGUUCAUUUCUUGGGCUUGUUCUUUUGACACUAAUGGUGUGUUCAGCACAUGGAGCUCGUGUUGUAAAAUGAAAGGUAGAGAGAACCGAGACGAUGAAGGCCGACGCCCAGCUCGAGCAAGAAGUCAGCUCUACUAUUCUAUUUGUCAUUUUAAGAGAUGGUCCAUAUCUUGGAAACUGGAAAGAGACCCAUUACUGAAUGAUAAAUCAACAAUUCUGGUUUCCAUGGUACAGUACAUUAUUUCUAUGUAUUUUCAGCAUGACAUUAGAUGCUUUUUCUAACGAAUCACUCCUUGCUAAGGAUUGUAGGGAUUUUAUUAACAAAUCACCAUUCCAGCUUAUAAAAUUAGAAUGAUUUGAUCUUGGCAAUGGCUAGGAUAGUCAACUGGUCGCUUCUAGAGAAAGAUGAAGAGGCUCGAUGCAGCGCUGCGGGCGGGGAUGGCUUGAUGCAGCCAAGGGAUCCUUCCAUAGGAAUACACACGGUCUCCGACAGCCACGGCAACGGCAAACCAGAGCGGAUCGCCAAGGGCCCUUCCUAGAGGAAUGCACACGUUGUCUGGCAGCCAUGGGUGAUGCGUAGGUCGCUAAUUCGUCUUUCCCGUUCAUCCUGUCGUUUCUCUUUCAUACCCCUCCUCUUCCCCUACUUAUCCAUCUAAUGUAGAAUAUUGAUUGUUUUCAUACUAUACUUUGUACUCACAACCGAAUGUGGGUUCUCCGUAGACCCAUAAAAGGUUCAAACUCUGGGGUGCGCUCGCUCUCCUAUCCUGUUCUACCUCUCAACUUCAUUGUGACUCUCCGAUGGCUCGAGCUAAGGAAAGCAAACAAGAACACACGAGCAGUUUACCAAGGUUCAAGCCACCUUGCGGUGUAAAACCCUACUACUGCUUGUCUGGAUUGCUUGAGGUGGAAGACGAGUACAAAGGCGGGUUCUUGCCCUAGUCGAGAUGAUGGAUGGGGGCCCUUUUCUAUGAAAGUCGGGCCAUUCUUUUAUAUUGGCCUUGGUCCUCUUCCCCCGAAAACACUCGACGGGAAGGGUUACCACAAUGACCAUUUUGAAAGGUGACAUGACUACAGCCCGUCCUACCAAAGCUGGUCUUCGCCUGCAAAAAGGCCUUCGCCAUGAUGCGAUGGUGGGAUCGGGGGAGACCUCCGUCGUGAUGAGCCCCCAUCCUUGGUCCUCUUGCACCAAACAGAAAACCUUUGGGGGUUGCUUUGGGAGACCGCCAGCUGGCCCUGCUUCCUUAGCACGAAAGCAGAAAGCCACCCUAUUCGUGCCUCCUGGCACCACUCCUGCACAGCCCGCGCCACACACGUGAAGAUGCAGGGUCGCGAGACCCUGCCUAGUUUCCCUUGACGAGCCCGUAUCACAAGGGCCUCAGGGGAAGCCUCGGGAUGCACCUUGGUUGUGCGUAGCUCCGCACGGCCCCAGCAUCGAUUCCUAGCGCUUGCCUCGCGAGGCGAAGGCCCUUGCGAGGGGCUUACCGUCCGGCCUACCGCCAUGCCGAAUUAGGCUAACAAAGCGCACCACGCCUAGGGACUUAGGGCUACGGGCCAGGGCACGCUCGAUCCGAGGGGCCCGAUAGUAGCCCCCAAGCCCGCAUUGUGCACGACUCCGCCCGAUGGGAGGGGCGAAGCAACAUGGGCUCCAACUGCGUGCGGGCGAGGCGCGACGUGUUGCGCCCGGAUAGUCAUGGGAGGCCCCUUCUCCCAACGAUGCCAUGGUAACUGUCCCGAGCUGAUAUAAAUCCUGCACGUAUAGUCGGUUCGUCAUUGCUCUUCCCUGUCUUGCGCCGCCUCUCUGGGCCUUCCUUCCAGCAUAAGAGUGCUCCCAUCUGCCAAGCAACCAUCGCCCCUUCUCCCAUAGCGUCGCCAUAGCUCCCCCGAGCAGGAAGAGUGAGGAAAUGGCAGCACUGUAAGGGAGCAAGGCACAAGAAGCCACCCUGUGUAGGUCCACAGUGCUGAAUCACAAGGUGCUCGACAAGAUCCUCCCCAUGGUCGCGGCUGAGUCUGGCAAAUGGUGGGAAACCAAGAUCUUGCCGGCUUCGACUCCCCUCACCGAGCUGGCCGCAACCUCCGUCACCCUUUAUCUUCAUGCGCUCUUCUUCGGCUUGCUUCCCCCAUUCUCGGAGUUCUUCAACAUUGUGCUCGCGCAUUACCAAAUUCAUGCGCUGCAUAUUGGUCCGAGGUUUAUUAUUCUUCUCUCGUCGUUCAUCUUUCUCUGCAGGCCUUUCUGGGUGUUCCUCCCUUGGUGGUAUUGAUCCGGCACUUCUUCUCCCUCU